UACGUAGGGUGCGAGCGUUGUCCGGAAUUACUGGGCGUAAAGAGCUCGUAGGUGGUUUGUCGCGUUGUCCGUGAAAACUCACAGCUUAACUGUGGGCGUGCGGGCGAUACGGGCAGACGUGGAGUACUGCAGGGGAGACUGGAAGUUCCUGGUGGUAGCGGUGGAAUGCGCAGAUAUCAGGAGGAACACCGGUGGCGAAGGCGGG
rnacentral:rRNA from 1 species